rnacentral:rRNA from 1 species
AGAGUUUGAUCCUGGCUCAGAGCGAACGCUGGCGGCAGGCCUAACACAUGCAAGUCGAACGGACCCUUCGGGGUUAGUGGCGGACGGGUGAGUAACACGUGGGAACGUGCCUUUAGGUUCGGAAUAGCUCCUGGAAACGGGUGGUAAUGCCGAAUGUGCCCUUCGGGGGAAAGAUUUAUCGCCUUUAGAGCGGCCCGCGUCUGAUUAGCUAGUUGGUGGGGUAAUGGCCCACCAAGGCUACGAUCAGUAGCUGGUCUGAGAGGAUGACCAGCCACAUUGGGACUGAGACACGGCCCAAACUCCUACGGGAGGCAGCAGUGGGGAAUCUUGCGCAAUGGGCGAAAGCCUGACGCAGCCAUGCCGCGUGUAUGAUGAAGGUCUUAGGAUUGUAAAAUACUUUCACCGGUGAAGAUAAUGACUGUAGCCGGAGAAGAAGCCCCGGCUAACUUCGUGCCAGCAGCCGCGGUAAUACGAAGGGGGCUAGCGUUGCUCGGAAUUACUGGGCGUAAAGGGAGCGUAGGCGGACAUUUAAGUCAGAGGUGAAAUCCCGGAGCUUAACUUCGGAACUGCCUUUGAUACUGGGUGUCUUGAGUGUGAGAGAGGUAUGUGGAACUCCGAGUGUAGAGGUGAAAUUCGUAGAUAUUCGGAAGAACACCAGUGGCGAAGGCGACAUACUGGCUCAUUACUGACGCUGA